UAUUGAUCGUCUCUCGCAUAUCAAUAAGCGGAGGAAAAGAAACUAACAAGGAUUCCCCUAGUAACGGCGAGUGAAGCGGGAAGAGCUCAAAUUUGAAAUCUUAAAGGGUUUCCCUUUACGAAUUGUAGUUUAAAGAAGUGUUUUCUGUUGAGGUUUUGGUAAAAGUUCUUUGGAAUAGGACAUCAUAGAGGGUGAGAAUCCCGUAUUUGACCUUUACUUUCAACUUUGUGAUACACUUUCAAAGAGUCGGAUUGUUUGGGAAUGCAGUCCAAAAUGGGUGGUAAAUUUCAUCUAAAGCUAAAUAUUGGCGAGAGACCGAUAGCGAACAAGUACCGUGAGGGAAAGAUGAAAAGAACUUUGAAAAGAGAGUUAAACAGUACGUGAAAUUGUCAAAAGGGAAGCGUUUGACACCAGUGUUGUUUUUCUGAAAAUCAAUUAAAGAACUGUUUAUGCUAAGCUGUUUAGACUUUAUCAGCUAUCUGUUUAGUUUUGAGCUUUUCUUUAAUGCACUUUUCAGUUAACAAGUCAACAUCAAUUUCUUUUGCUGUAAAAAAGCUUGAGGAAGGUGGCUUGAGAUUCGUCUUAAGUGUUUAUAGCCUCUUGCCUAUGCAGUCGGAGAGAUUGAGGUCUGCAGCGUAGAUCCUUCGGGGCUAAAUGCAUUUGUGCUAAGUUAUAGCAUUUUAUAGACAACUUGUUGACUAUGAUUUGUCUUGUAGCUUACUCGCUUAUGUUAUUUUACCUACGCUUAGGAUGUUGAAGACUCUACAGAGAUA
rnacentral:rRNA from 1 species